CUUGCUUCCGCUGAGAAGAUAGUGGCGAACGGGUGAGUAACACGUGGGUAACCUGCCCAUAAGAGGGGGAUAACAUCCGGAAACGGGUGCUAAUACCGCAUAGUUUUCUUGAUCGCAUGAUUGAGAAAGGAAAGACGGCCUUUGUGCUGUCGCUUAUGGAUGGACCCGCGGCGUAUUAGUUAGUUGGUGAGGUAACGGCUCACCAAGACGAUGAUACGUAGCCGACCUGAGAGGGUGAUCGGCCACAUUGGGACUGAGACACGGCCCAAACUCCUACGGGAGGCAGCAGUAGGGAAUCUUCCGCAAUGGACGAAAGUCUGACGGAGCAACGCCGCGUGAGUGAAGAAGGUUUUCGGAUCGUAAAACUCUGUUGUCAGAGAAGAACAAGUCGGAGAGUAACUGCUCCGGCCUUGACGGUAUCUGACCAGAAAGCCACGGCUAACUACGUGCCAGCAGCCGCGGUAAUACGUAGGUGGCAAGCGUUGUCCGGAUUUAUUGGGCGUAAAGCGAGCGCAGGCGGUUCCUUAAGUCUGAUGUG
rnacentral:rRNA from 1 species